AACGAACGCUGGCGGCGUGGAUUAGGCAUGCAAGUCGAACGCGAAAGUCUCCUUCGGGGGGCGAGUAGAGUGGCGAACUGGUGAGUACAAGGUGACUAACCUGCCCUUGAGUGGGGGGAUAACUUCGGGAAACCGGAGCUAAUACCGCAUGGUCUCUCUGCCUUUCGAGGUGAAGAGUAAAGCAGUAAUGCGCUCGAGGA
rnacentral:rRNA from 1 species